rnacentral:rRNA from 1 species
UAAUACAGAGGGUGCGAGCGUUGUUCGGAAUUACUGGGCGUAAAGCGCGCGCAGGCGGCUCUUUAAGUCUGAUGGUCAAAUGCCGGGGCUCAACCCCGUGCCCGCCAGGGAUACUGGAGAGCUGGAGACACGUAGAGGCAAGCGGAAUUCCGGGUGUAGCGGUGGAAUGCGUAGAGAUCCGGAAGAACACCGGAGGCGAAGGCGGCUUGCUGGGCGUAGUCUGACGCUGAGGCGCGAAAGCGUGGGGAGCGAACAGGAUUAGAUACCCUGGUAGUCCACGCCGUAAACGAUGGGCACUAGACGCGGGUGGGAUCGACCCCUUCCGUGUCGCAGCUAACGCGAUAAGUGCCCCGCCUGGGGAGUACGGCCGCAAGGCUG